UACGGAGGGGACUAGCGUUGUUCGGAAUUACUGGGCGUAAAGCGCACGUAGGCGGAUUUGUAAGUCAGGGGUGAAAUCCCGGGGCUCAACCCCGGAACUGCCUUUGAUACUGCGAAUCUCGAGUCCGGAAGAGGUGAGUGGAAUUCCUAGUGUAGAGGUGAAAUUCGUAGAUAUUAGGAAGAACACCAGUGGCGAAGGCGGCUCACUGGUCCGGUACUGACGCUGAGAUACGAAAGCGUGGGGAGCAAACAGG
rnacentral:rRNA from 1 species